rnacentral:rRNA from 1 species
AUGUGGAGUUCUGGUGGGCAGCGGCUGUUUAUGUGGAGUUCUGGUGGCCAGCAAUACUGGGCGUCACUGUCAUGUGGAGAUGAUCUUUGUUUCUUCCACAACCUCAAUGAGAAGGCAAUGCUCUCGUUUAACUUUUUGUUUCGUAACCGAGCAUUUGUUCAUGCUGUUUGUUUGACCCGCAGAGCGCGUACUUUUAACGAGUAUUCACUGUAUUCAUCGUGCUGUGGAAACAUGCUACUCAUAAAUAUGCAAUGGCGCCGAAAACUUUCUACUGUUGGUUCUCUUGGUCAAGUGUGUGUCAAGUGCUGA